CCGGAAGCGGGUCUGAGCGGAUGUCUCCGGCGCGUCCGUGCAAGGGGCUGAGGGCCGCGGUGGCUGCCAGCGUGGGGUUAAGUGAGGGGCCUACGGGCUCCGCCCGAAGCGGCCGCCUCCUCCGCCCUCCGACGACGCCGGGGGCCCGGCUGUUGCGGCUCCCGGGGAGCGGAGCCGUGCGGGCCGCAAGCCCGGAGCGCGCCGGUUGGACCGAGGCGCUGCGGGCUGCGGUGGCCGAGCUGCGCGCCGGCGCCGUGGUGGCCGUCCCCACCGAUACGCUGUACGGCCUGGCCUGCUCGGCGAGUUGCUCGGCGGCACUGGACGCUGUGUACCGCCUCAAGGGCCGCAGCGAGGCCAAACCGCUGGCCGUGUGCCUGGGCCGCGUGGCCGACGUCUACAGGUACUGCCACGUGAGAGUACCUGAGGGACUCCUGAAAGACCUGUUACCAGGACCAGUGACCCUGGUGAUGGAACGCUCAGAGGAGCUCAAUAAGGACCUGAACCCCUUCACUCAUCUUGUAGGCAUCCGCAUACCUGACCACACCUUCAUGCAGGACUUGGCCCAGAUGUUUGGGGGACCGCUUGCUCUCACCAGCGCCAACCUCAGCUCCCAGGCCAGUUCUUUGAAUGUUGAGGAGUUCCAGGACCUCUGGCCUCAGUUGUCCCUGGUCAUUGAUGGGGGACCAAUUGGGAAUGGCCAGAGCCCUGAGUGUCGCCUAGGCUCAACUGUGAUCGACUUGUCUGUGCCUGGAAAGUUUGACAUCAUUCGUCCAGGCUGGGCCGAAUGCUGGUGUCAAUGUAGCCAGGCCCCACACUGGGAAUGAACAUGAGGUUGUUGGCAUCACAAAAGUUCUUCACAGCUUUCCAGUUCUGAUGGGAGGAGCCGAAGGAGAAACCGUUGGAGGCAAACGGUAAAAUGCGCCAUGGGAGCCAUACCUGAGGAGCGGGAGGAAGAAGAGCCUGAGCUGGCAGCCUAGGAUGGGAGAAGCCAGCACAGCUGUGGGACCAGCCAUGGAUGAUAGCUUUCCUGAUGCCUGAGUACAACUGCGGAUCCAGCUAGUCUCCACAAUUGGACCCAACAUGCCUCCAAGCAAGACCCUAGUUCCCUUCCCCCUCUCCCUAGACUUGCUAUUCCUUUAUUCAAGACACUUCCCUGCCCUAGGCCAAGUCACCACCAUCUUUUAUCUGGAUUUCAGCAACAGCCACCUAACUGGUCUCCAGGCUGCCACUUUCCACCUCCCUACAAUCCAUUCUCUUUUUAAAGUGUAAAUCAGAUCUGAUGUCUUGCCAAGACCUACAAGGCCUCACCUACUUGAUCUGGACCUGCCCACCACCUCAAUUCCUGCUAUUACCUCAUCUGUCUACACACUCCACCUAUACUGGCCUUUCUAAUCUGCUGUCAGGCUUGUCCCAUCAUAUGACCUUUGCAUCUGACAGCCCUCUGCCUGGAAUUUUCUGCUUGCUCCAGAUCUUGGCAGAGCCGACUCUUCAUUUACAUGUUUGCUCACAUGUCAUCUCAGAGAGCUCACUUGACCACACCUUCUAAAGUAUUUUUCAGACACACUAACACAACACCCUGCUUUAUUCUUUAUUAUUUUUCAUAGUGUGGAUCAUCACUGAAUUUUCAUGUGUAACUACUGCCUGCUCCACUGCCCUCCCCAAUACAAAUUAGAAUAGAAUAAAAUUUUGCUAGUCCUACCUGUUACUGUACAACUGGGGCUUAGAGCAGUGUCUAGACACCUAAAGGCAUUCAAUAAAUAUUGCUUUAAUGAA